AGGCCGGACAGCCGCGGACGCAGGCCGAAAGGCCGCGGAUGAGGAAAGUCCGGGCUCCACAGGGCAGGGAUAACGGGUAACGCCCGCCGAGGGUAACCUCAGGACAAGUGCAACAGAGAGAUACUACUGCGGUUUCCGCAGGAAAGGUGAAAAGGCAGGCUCAUAGCCUGCCCGGCCCAUGGUAACAUGGGUUUUACGCUGUAAACUCUAUCCCGGAGCAACGCCGUGGAGAAGCUUAAGGUUGACCCGACCGCUUCGAGGAGGCGGCUUGACCCCGUGAGCAAUUGCGGGGCUAGAUAGAUGGCUGUCAAGACAGAACCCGGCUUAUAGAUCUGGUUG
rnacentral:RNase_P_RNA from 1 species